CGCCGCCAUGACUGGUGUGGUUCUUUCUUCUUUUGGCAGAUUCUUUAGCACAAUAUUUUUUCUUCGCUGUUCAGAGAGGGUUUCAGCUCUCCAAGAGUGAUCGAUGUUAGGAAUUGGGUUGAGAAAAUGGAGGGGAGAAGUAACGGUGUUUCUUCUCUGUUUUUAUGUAUUGGUGAUUUUGAGAGGAGUGGAGGCUCAUGGAGAUGGGGAGUUAGGAGGAAUUUUGCAUUUUAA